AAACUCGCGAACCCGCUCGUCCCCUCCUCUCGGCGCCCACGAGCAGCACUCGCCUCCACCACCGGCGCCGCCGCGAUGUCAUGGCCGGAGGUGCUCAUGCCUCUCCCGCCUUCGCGCCAUGCUCUCCUCCCACUCACACCCCCCCCCCCCCCCAUUGUCUGACCCUCCUCCUCGCGCUCCCACUCUCCGGCCACGUCCCUACUCCUCCUCGAUUGGUACGCAUCCUCCUGCCCUGCGCUCUUGUUGUCCUCCCUCCCGCUUCGCCCCACCCUGGCCACCGCCGAUACGGACCGCGCGCGAGGCCUCCUCGACUCCCUCCCGCCCCUGCUCCGUGAGUCCUUCCUGGAUACGGAGCUCACCCUGGACAUCCAGCGCGGGUGGACGGGCGGCUUAACCAGCGACAUGGCGGAGCUCAGUGCCAGAUCUAAAAAAUUGUCCUUGACGUUUCCUCUUCCGCUUCACUCCCAAUUCCCAUCCAGUAAAAAUCACCAUAGCCCCUUGCACUCAUCCUUUCAAUCUGGAUUGGAUUGAGGGAUCCAUGGCGGCCGGCAAUCAUCGGAGAGACGCGGCCACACGACAGCAACGGUGGCCCUAUUGCCCUUCUGCUCUCUGACCGUGGGCAAGCACCUGGUGCUCACGCGUGCAUCUGUGCCUGCAAGCUCGGAGAUGCUUGAGUGCAGGUGCACAGAUUGAAUCGAUGUCAAUACAGGAGAUGCACAAGAUGUGCUCGAUGAAUUGAUUAUGAGAGAUGACGCCUAGGUUCUCCUCCCCAUGUCCCUUACAGUGUCGAGUGCCACCAGGUUCAAGCAAAGCUACAGGGCGUUCAGCUGUCUUCUUCCUCAAGAUAAUGGCAAAGAAGUUCUGAUGAUCCCCUGCCAAUUCAUUUGUUCAAGAUUUGAAGUUGCGCGCGAACACCGGUCUUCCCGCAGCAGUGGUGGCCGAGUUCCGCGCUGAGCUCCAGCGCGCCCUCCCCACGGCGAUGACCGAUUGCGCGUCGUCUGCAGCAGCAUCCAAGCUCCACACGCCCUUUCUGUCACGACCACGGUGGUGGUGCCAAGGCUGGCGGUUCCGGCGGUGCCGCCGAUACAGGGGCGACAAUUUUGAGACAACAAUAGAUGCAGAGUAGUAAAAGGUUUAAUUUGAUUGGGUUCAGUUUUUGGCUAUAAAUCCUAAUUUAUUGCUGCAUUUUCCUUUAGUUGAUUUAGUAUUAUGAUUCAUGCCAUUCUUUUUUUUUUCAUUCCAGCGUUUGUCCAUGUGCAGACUUGGAUUAGGCUUCCAACUGGUGCACAGAUGCAGUAUACAUCACGUUGCUUCUUCUAUCAACAACAAAGACUGACUAUUUUGUAAUUGCAGCUCUGCAUCCUACGGUGCUUGCUGAUGCUGAGGUCCUCUGCAAACAUAUAAUGGAAAGAUCAUCACCAGAUACGGUCAAUGCAAUAUGCACAGGUGGUUAUCAACGGUUCCUCCUCCUCCUGGUAAUUUGUUGAAGCUAACCGGCAGAAUGAUUUUUUUUGGUUAUUGAGACAAAUGUGACUGGAUUAAGUUUGUAGCUGUAAAUGUAGAGCGCAUCUAGCUACCUGCAUGGGCCAAGAUCACACUUCAAGAUAUGGUCGCAUGAAAGUACUGGCAACAUAUCUGUUUGGUAGAAUGGCACUAUAUAUGCAUUUCCUACCAUAUCUGUAUGGUCCUAAAAUCUCAUAACAAUACGCAUCAUUACGCAUUUACGCUCUUGAUUGCUUUGCUAAA